CACAGAACAUGUGUUUGGCUGGCUGCCUGGCUAUGAGGUGAAUUUUAAGUAACUUUUCAGGCCAUAUUUACCUGAGGGGUUCAGACAGCAUUAGAGUAUGGCCUCAGUUUGCUUUCCAAAAGUAUGCUAAGUUACAUACGAUACUCUCUUUGAAAGUUAAACAAUAGAUCAAGAGACCUGGUACAAAGGAUUUCUCAUAUAAGUAACUGGUAGAGAAAAAUUAAAAUGUAGUUUUGUAUAUUAUAUUUUUGAGACCAACCCUACUGAAGAAUUCUCUACAUAUGGACCAUGAUAUGCAGCUAGAAAUCACCAAGCAGAGAUGUUCCAAGUAUCAAUUUUGUGACAGGGUGAAUCCUAUGUGUAGAAUUGCUUGGUCAAAUGGAGUAUUUAGAAGAGAAGCAUCAUGAUGCUUGCAUCUUACAUUCAAGUGGUUUGACAAAAACAUCGACAUUAAUUCCUUGAGUAGGUAUUUUCCUUGCUCUGUGAUCGAGUUUUUCAACCUCAGCACUACUGACAUUUUGGGCUGAAUAAAUUCUUUGCUGUGGGGCUACCCUAUGAAUUGUAGGAUGUUUGGUAGUUUUCCUGGUCAGAUAUUGCCAAAUGUCCCCUGGGAGGUAAAAUGUCCUGUGUUGAGGACUAUUGCUGUAUGUUAAUAAUUUGAUAAUCAAAAAAAAUUUUAUACACAGGUUUCUUUUCUACAAAAGCACUGGCUAUUAAUUCUGAAACAACUUUCUGUGUAUUCUAAAAAGGCUCAAAUAAAUACGUUGCAGAUAAAUGAAGCCACUUUUCUCACUGUUGAAGAAGAAAAUUACAGAUAUGAAAACAGGUAAGAUAGAAUUAAUCCCCUGGGCCGGGCACAGUGGCUCACACCUGUAAUACCAGUACUUUGGGAAGCCAAGGCAGACAGAUCUCUUGAGGUCAGGAGU
rnacentral:lncRNA from 1 species